rnacentral:lncRNA from 1 species
AACAGACAGUUUAAUACCAUUUCACACUAUUUAAAAAAAAACCAUUACGAAAGACAAUUUCAAAACAAAACUAAAGCAAAUCUGCACAAACAAUAUUUAGCAUAACGAUACUUGAAUUAUAAAUUUCACAUCAUAACCAAUCAACUUCCAUGUGAACCUCUCUUAUUCCCAAGAACUUGAGACCAUUUGCGAAAAAAACACAUUCAGAUCAAACCAUAAAUCCAAUUACUCCUAAUUAGAAUCAAACGUAUCUAAGAUCCAAUCAACUACAAUCCAAUUAUUACAAGUAUUGAAGGGAGUCUCAAAUAUUCAUGACACUACAUAAGUUCAAACAUUUUAAACAGAAAGCAUAAAUCAACAAUUCGUAUAAGAUAGAAACCGAAAGAAGAUGGACACAUUCAACAGGUAAGGAAAUCUUCAUCUCUUCAUGAAACAUGAACCAGCCUUUAUAUUUGGUAUCAAGGUGUGUACCUAAAUAUGGCAAAGCAAAAUUAGAAGUUGAGUUAAAGACUCAGAAGGAAUCAACAACAACAGUAGUAGCAGGAGCAAUAACUUAGUAGAAAUCAACUAGAACCAGCCAUAAACAAAGUUUUGUGAACAGUAAACCCAAAUCAACCUUUACAAUAUCUUAAAUGCAACCCAUUCUAACCUAGAUUCAACUCUCAAAAUAGACCAAACUAUCCUCAAACCUAUAGGAACCAAAAAUGCUUCAAAAUUUUGAACCUUCAAGAAUCAUAGAAAGCAACGGAACAGUAAUUUUUCAGAUUUUUCCUUUUAGCCGUCUGAGUUUUUCAGGAACUUUUUUAUUACUCCAGGUCCCUUUUGGCUUAGGUUUUUAAUGCUUUCAUAGGUCAACCAUUAGGGCAAAUUUCAGAUUUUUACUUUACCCCCUUUGUCCCUAAUUUUAUGAAUUGUUAGCCGAGGGUCGAUUGGAAACAGCCUCUCUGCCCUCUCGGGUAUAGAUAAGGCUCGUCUACAUAUUACCCUCCCCAGACCCCACUUUGUCGGACUAUACUUGGUAGUUGUUGUUGUUGUUGUUAGCCAAGUCAUACUAUCAAAAUUAAAAGUCAACCCCUGCUAGAAACUUCUAGGGAUUUCUUAAAACAAUUAGCACAAGAUUAUCUACCCCAAACCCCUAAAUUACCCUUCAACCCCUGUUAUUUUACAUUGAGCAAACUACAUGGGUCAAGAUUGGCCCAAAACCCAAAUUGUAGUUUGAAUUACUAUGGACCACAAAAGGGCAAACCCAACGUUCUGGUAAAAUAAAAAGGCCCCAAAGAUUGAGUGCAAAGAACUCAAAUGAUUCAAACAAACCAGUUAAUUCACCUAUUAGCAAUUAUGGGCUUAAACAAAUAGCUUCGAACAAAAAUAGAUCAACAGACUACCCAACAGCUCUUAACACUAUCUUAUGAAAACAUGAAAUAAUUUUCAAAAACUAUUGUUAUGUCAGAUUAAGCUACUGAGCAACAAACGAAAGCCAAACGAAAGAUAAAAGAUGGAGCAAAGAUGGAGGAGGAAAUAGGAUAAGAGAAAGAGAACGGAAAGAGUACCUUCAAGCCGUUAAAACGUUAACAAAUCUCCGAUUUUAUUCAAGUAUUAACCAUGUGUUUUCGACGGGAGCACAUGAAGGCUUAGCAGAUUUGUUUCUUUUUCAUUUCAUGUUCAAGAAAAUAUUGAUUUGGUGAGUUUUUAGGGAGAAACGAUGGUGGAUUUUGGGAUAGGGGAAAGGUAAUGGUUGCAUAGGUGGAGUUGGGGUUGAGUAGAGGCGGCGCGCUACCAGAGACAUUGUGGCAGCACUAGGGUUUUGAUCUUCGAGGGGUUCCAAGGGGGUUUGAUGGAAAUGGAAUGGGGAUCUGAGACGGGGAGGUGGAGUAGAGUGGUUGGUGUGAAUUUGUUAGUGAUUGGAUGUCGGCCGCCGCCGUAGGCAAUUUCGGCGGGCGGCAGGUGGUGGUUUAGGGUGGUGCUAAUGGGGGGUCUCUGAGAGAUGGAGGAGACGCGAUUAGGGGGCUAGGAUUUUCAGACUGUUUAUAUUAAUGACCCCACCACCACCACCACUUCCUAGUCAUUAGAUCGUCUAUCCUAGACGGUUAGGAUCAAUCCCCCCUGUAUGACGUCGUUUUGGGAGGUGAGGGAAGAUGGACAGGGUGAGGAGGUCGGUUUGGGCCGGGUAAACGGGUAUUUUGGACGGUUUUUGCUCUUGGUUUGGGC